GAUGAACGCUGGCGGCGUGCUUAACACAUGCAAGUCGAGCGAGAAGUUUUGAAAAGAUUCUUCGGAUGAAAUUUAAAAUGGAAAGCGGCGGACGGGUGAGUAACGCGUAGGCAACCUGCCCCAUACAAAGGGAUAGCAUUUGGAAACGAAUAUUAAUACCUUAUGAAACUUAACUAGUGCAUGCUAGGUAGGUCAAAGAUUUAUCGGUAUGGGAUGGGCCUGCGUCUGAUUAGCUAGUUGGUGAGGUAACGGCUCACCAAGGCGACGAUCAGUAGCCGACCUGAGAGGGUGAACGGCCACAUUGGAACUGAGGCACGGUCCAAACUCCUACGGGAGGCAGCAGUGGGGAAUAUUGCACAAUGGGGGAAACCCUGAUGCAGCAACGCCGCGUGAACGAGGAAGGCCUUUGGGUCGUAAAGUUCUGUUCUAGGUGAUGAAAACUGACAGUAACCUAGGAGAAAGCCCCGGCUAACUCCGUG
rnacentral:rRNA from 1 species